GCUGCGGCAGCCUAACACAUGCAAGUCGAGCGGUAGAGAGAAGCUUGCUUCUCUUGAGAGCGGCGGACGGGUGAGUAAUGCCUAGGAAUCUGCCUGGUAGUGGGGGAUAACGUUCGGAAACGGACGCUAAUACCGCAUACGUCUACGGGAGAAAGCAGGGGACUUUCGGGCCCUUGCGCUAUCAGAUGAGCCUAGGUCGGAUUAGCUAGUUGGUGAGGUAAUGGCUCACCAAGGCGACGAUCCGUAACUGGUCUGAGAGGAUGAUCAGUCACACUGGAACUGAGACACGGUCCAGACUCCUACGGGAGGCAGCAGUGGGGAAUAUUGGACAAUGGGCGAAAGCCUGAUCCAGCCAUGCCGCGUGUGUGAAGAAGGUCUUCGGAUUGUAAAGCACUUUAAGUUGGGAGGAAGGGUUGUAACCUAAUACGUUGCAAUUUUGACGUUACCGACAGAAUAAGCACCGGCUAACUCUGUGCCAGCAGCCGCGGUAAUACAGAGGGUGCAAGCGUUAAUCGGAAUUACUGGGCGUAAAGCGCGCGUAGGUGGUUCGUUAAGUUGGAUGUGAAAUCCCCGGGCUCAACCUGGGAACUGCAUUCAAAACUGUCGAGCUAGAGUAUGGUAGAGGGUGGUGGAAUUUCCUGUGUAGCGGUGAAAUGCGUAGAUAUAGGAAGGAACACCAGUGGCGAAGGCGACCACCUGGACUGAUACUGACACUGAGGUGCGAAAGCGUGGGGAGCAAACAGGAUUAGAUACCCUGGUAGUCCACGCCGUAAACGAUGUCAACUAGCCGUUGGGAGCCUUGAGCUCUUAGUGGCGCAGCUAACGCAUUAAGUUGACCGCCUGGGGAGUACGGCCGCAAGGUUAAA
rnacentral:rRNA from 1 species